CAGGCGUCGGCGGCGUUUGCCGGAGGAAGGAGCCUGAGGGAGCCGCGUCGGUCCUGUCCCCUGUACCGCCGGUCCCUUCCGUCUUGUCCCCGGUCCCGCCCCGGCCAGGCCUGGCCCGGCCCGGGGCACAUCGACCGCGGGGACCCGGACGCCCGGAUGGAAAUCAUAUGGUAUAGAGUGUUUGGGUGACAUCUACUUGGCAGAUCUUCAAGAAACUCUGUACUUGGUUUUUAUUUUAUUUACCAUGAUGCUCAACUGUGAUGAAUAUUAAAGACAGAAGUACCUAAUGCAUUUGAGACAGAAGUAAAGUUGGGGGGGG